ACAAAAAUAAAUAUGAACGCUAACUUUGGCCAGUGUUUAUGACUAAGUGGCUACUAAAAAAGACUAAAACAUACCCCACUUUCAAUACCUUGGCUUGUCUACCUUUUCAAAUGGUAUGCCAUUAUCGGGGUAAUUCUCAUUCCUGGGCUACCACACCAUCUCAAAAUUAACAUUACUAAUCUGACAAAUUUCAAUUUGAAAAUGGAAGUUCUAUAAUUGACCCUGUAACUUUCCAAAACACCAUAAAACUUGUUAAUGGGGGGUACUGUUGUACUCGUGAGACAGCGCUGAUUACAAAUAUGUGCAUUUUUUUGCAGUAAAACCUAACAGUAUUAUGACAUUUACAGCUAAAAUGUGAGGUGGAACUACCAAUUAAAAAAAUAAAAAAUUGUUUUUUUAAUUUUACUCAUAAUUAAUUAUGUUUCAUAUAUAAAUAUUUGAUAUGAAAUGAAAGCCGUUUCUCCUGAACAAAAUGAUAUAUAAUAAGUGUGGGUGCAUUUAAUAUGAAAGAGGUGAAUUACGGUUGAACAGAUAUAGUGCAAAUUCCAGUUUUUGUUUACGGUUUGUUUUGAUCAGAACGUGUACUAUAGACUCCAUCCUGAAGGGGUUAAGGGGUUGUGUCACAAAGAUUAAAUAUUUUGUUUUUCAGUUUAACUCAUGGAUGGUAUUUUGUCUCUGGGCUCUCUUGAUCCCUGAAAACAAUCUCGGACACCUGUGAUAAUUAGAUUGCCAGGUGAGCCCAAUUUAAGGAAAAACUACUAAAGGAGGGUGUUCCAUAUUAUUAAGCAGAGCACAAUUUUCAUGCAAUAUGGGGAAGAAAAAGGAUCUCUCUGCUGCCGAAAAGAGUGAAAUGGUUCAAUGCCUUGGACGAGGUAUGAAAACAUUAGAUAUUUCACGAAAACUUAAGCGUGAUCACCGCACUAUUAAGAGAUUUGUGGCUGAUUCAGAGCAGAGACGGGUUUGUGCAGAUAAAGGCACAUUGAGGAAGACUUCUGCCAGAUCCAUGCAUUGGAUCAAGAGAGCAGCUGCUAAAAUACCAUUACAUAGCAGCAAACCGAUAUUUGAAGCUGCUGGUGCCUCUGAAGUCCCACAGACAUCAAGGUGUAGAGUCCUCCAGAGUCAUGCAACUGUGCAUAAACCUUCUAUUCGGCCACCACUAACCAAUGCUAACAAGCAGAAAUGGCUGCAUUGGGCAGAAAAAGACAUGAAGACUAAUUUUCAAACAGUCCUGUUCACUGAUGAGUGCCAUGCAACCCUGGAUGGUCCAGAUGGAUGGAGUGGUGGAUGGUUGGUGGACGGCCACCCUGUUCCAACAAGGCUGCGACGCCAGCAAGGCGGUGGUGGAGUCAUGUUUUGGGCCGGAAUCAUGGGAAGAGCUGGUCGGCCCCUUUAGGAUCCCCGAAGGUGUAAAGAUGACCUCUGCAAAUUAUGUGGAGUUUCUGACUGACCACUUUCUUCCCUGGUACAGAAGGAAGAACUAUGCUUUCCGUAAUAAAAUCAUCUUCAUGCAUGACAAUGCACCAUCUCAUGCUGCAAAGAAUACCCCUGCAUCAAUGGCUGCCAUGAGGAUAAAAGGAGAGAAAGUCAUGGCCUCCAUCCUCCCCUGACCUCAAUCCUACUGAGAACCUUUGGAGCAUCCUCAAGCAAAAGAUUGAGGGUGGGAGGCAGUUUACAUCCAAACAGCAGCUCUGGGAGGCUAUUCUGACAUCUUGCAAACAAAUUCAAGCAGAAACUGUCCAAAAAUUCACGAGUUCAAUGGAUGCAAGACUUGUGAAGCUGCUAUCAAAUAAGGGAUCCUAUGUUAAAAUGUAACGUGACCUGUUAAAAUGUUUAAAAAGUUAAAAUGUUGUUAUAAGUUUGAUUGAAAUAGCUUUUGAUUUCCGUAAAUAUGCUGCAACCACUACAAAUGAAAAUUUUCAGUUCUUUACAACUGUCAGGAUUACGGUUUGAUCCAGCACGUAGAACUGUACAGCACGGAUGACAAAUAAGUAACGUAUUACCAGUCCUUAGAAUGGCCGGAUGUAACGUACAAAGAAUAGUCAAAAAUACUAGCCGAGGUCAGGAACACAGAAAGGG